CGGACGGGUGAGUAAUGUCUGGGAAACUGCCUGAUGGAGGGGGGUAACUACUGGAAACGGUAGCUAAUACCGCAUGACGUCGCAAGACCAAAGAGGGGGACCUUAGGGCCUCUUGCCAUCGGAUGUGCCCAGAUGGGAUUAGCUAGUAGGUGGGGUAACGGCUCACCUAGGCGACGAUCCCUAGCUGGUCUGAGAGGAUGACCAGCCACACUGGAACUGAGACACGGUCCAG
rnacentral:rRNA from 1 species